rnacentral:lncRNA from 1 species
GCUGAAGACUAGAAGAAAGCAAUUUACAGUUGAUAUGACUGUUUUAGUGCAGGGUAGGGUCUGGAAUGAGUCAAGCCUUUCGCAGUAAAUAAAGGCUAAUCUUGAUGAGACUUGCUCUAGGGCCAUUUCUGGGCCAGAUGGAUUUUUGAGCCGAGAAGCAAAAGAGAUCUCUCUAGGUAGAUGCAACCUUAUGUCAGGACACAUGGUUAGGGAAACAAAGUGUGGGCUGGAGUUCAGCCUCAGUGUGUUCCUUCAUUUGGGCAUUUGUGCAGAGCACAGCCUUUCCAACUUACACAACUACAUGUGUUGGUCUUGCUUGUUUCCUAUGUACCUAGUGAGAAAUUUUACUGGUAGAGAAAGUGAAUUUGAAGGAGUACCCACUCUCCCACUGCUCAGUAGUCAACUCUCUAUUUCAGAAGACCCUCUCAGAGCUUCUAGCCAGAGCUUGAAUUUCUCAAGGGUUGGGAUAGGGACUUGCUGCAGCCUUCAAUUACAGGGAAGAAAAGGGAAUCUGACACUAAAUUUGGGGCAAAGGUAAAGAGGAGACUAUGUAAAGGAUUGAGGCCAACAGUGAGGAGGGAGGGAGCCAGGGGAGGGUAUGUCAGCCUUUUCUAGAAGGCCCUAGUCAUUAGCCAGAGAGGCCAAAAAUAACUCCCACACUUGACCACUCUGGUUAAUUUUGCUCUACCCUGCUAUAGAAAAACUUCAUAUUCUUCAGCUAGACCAGCAUUUGGUUCUGGAACCUUGGUGAAGUAGUGAUGGGUAUGAUACUGUCCUGUUAGAAACAGGAUGAGCAUGACAUAUACUCACUCCCAUGAGAACCUGGCUGAGUAACUGUUGGUUGUCUGUAGACUUGUUAGCCCAAAGACCAAGAGUAGCACAGAUGACCCCACUUGACAGAAAGGCCAAAUUUUAUCUUCAGUUUCUUAUGUCAAAGGUCAGAAUAGGGACUCCUCACACUGCCUGGUUCGAUACACUUUUCUUCAAUAAAUUAAUGAGCCUGAGUAAAUUAACCAUCUACUCAUUCUUAGUGUUUAUA